GUACAAGCAGACCAGGGAGACCAAGGGCUCCAUCGACCAUUAACUGGAAUAAUCCAGACAACAGGAGAAAUUAACAUUAAUAAUAAACACAAUUAAAAGCACGGGUCAUCAUUACCAGAUCUGAUAGUUCAACAACACAUGCCAACCAAAGAUUUCAUGUAUCCCGGUUCUUUGAUGCAGCUCCUAUUGUCAUGCCACUCAUUCUUUCCAUUGCUCCCUGAGUCACCACCAGUUUUUCCUCCUCUAACUGUGCUGUUGCCCGUGUUUCAGGUCCCACAGACUCCACAAAGGAUUAAUGUAAUGCUGCUGUUCCUAAGAGAUAGAACUGGUCAGAAUACUAGAGCAUCCUGAUGUACAUUAUUUCAACACCCUUGUCCCUAAACACUGGAAAUGGUAAGUUCUCAUAUAUCAUAAUCAAUGAAAUAAUUAAAAGUUAGCACUGCCAAUCACAAAACCACAGUCCUUCCUCCCCCCCCCCCUUUCACUUUCUAUAUGGAGCACUUGGGAAGAAAUGAAUCCGUUUUUGCACUAGAUUGUUCUGCAUCCGAAUGAAGCUUUGAUUGAGACAUUUAUCAAAUCUCUCUUAAUGAGAGUUAUUCAGUCAGGAUUCAGCUUAUUCCCAAAUAUACUAAUAUUUGGCAUAUUUAUAUGGUGAACUUUUUUAUUUAUUUCUCUGACAGAAAAGGUAAAAUCACCUGCAAUACAUCUAGAAGCCCCACUCAGACUCUGCUUUCUCUUUCCAUAAUCAAUGGCGGUUGGUGGCUCCCACAUCAGCUGAGCAGUAAAUCUAUCCCAGAUUUUAGCACAAGUUUUAAGAGCAUUCUCCAAGGUGCUGAAGA